UACGUAGGGAGCAAGCGUUGUCCGGAUUCACUGGGUGUAAAGGGUGCGUAGGCGGGACAGUAAGUCAGUGGUGAAAUCUCACGGCUCAACCGUGAAACUGCCGUUGAUACUGCUGUUCUUGAGUUCGGGAGAGGUUGAUAGAAUUCCAGGUGUAGCGGUGAAAUGCGUAGAUAUCUGGAAGAAUACCAGUGGCGAAGGCGGUCAACUGGCCCGAAACUGACGCUGAGGCACGAAAGCGUGGGGAGCGAACAGG
rnacentral:rRNA from 1 species